GAGACAGCUGGUGCCAAAGAGUUUACUAUAAGACUGGUAGCAAAUCAAGGGAAAGGUAGACAAUAUGAUAUGCCUAACACCAAUGAGGUUGCUGGUUUGAUAGUCGGUGAUUUGUCAACUACUACUGGUUACAAAGAUGUCAUAUUACAAUAUCAGUCAAACCAUUUGCAAGAAAUACGAGAUGAUCAUCCUUUGUAUAUGUCUUUACAGUAUCCACUGCUAUUUCCUUACGGCGAAUAUGGAUUCCACACUGAAAUACCUUAUGUGGUAGCUGAAGGUAGACAAAGAAAAAAAUCAUUCAUAAGCAUAAGAGAGUAUUAUGCUUAUCAGAUACAAACUCGGCAGAAAGAAGGGAAGACAAUGAUAAAAUCAGGACGUUUAUUACAUCAAUAUGUAGUUGAUGCAUACACAGCUAUCGAAGCGGAAAGACUAAGGUGGAACAAAAACAAUCAAGAGCAGCUAAGAGCGGAUUUGUACAACAAUGUGUGUGAUGCAGUUUGUAAAGGUGAUACUGAUGCAAGAGUACAUGGGAAAAGAGUGAUCCUACCUUCAAGUUUUACUGAAAACCCUAGAUACAUGAUCGAAAAGUAUCAUGACGCAAUGGCAAUAUGUCGAACAUACGGAAAUCCAGAUUUGUUCAUUACUAUGACAGCCAAUCCAAACUGGAAAGAGAUAAAUGACCAUCUGGAAGCAUGUGGUGGUGGAUCCGGAAAUGAUAGACCUGAUAUUGAGUGUCGAGUUUUCAAAAUGAAACUAGAACAAAUGCUUGAAGAUUUUAAGAAGGGAACAUUCUUCAAGCCAUAUAUAGCAGAUAUGAAAAAAAUUAUUUAAUAUAAUAUUUAUUAGUGCUAAGAAAAAUAUUAGGUUUAGGAUAUGUGAAUUUAAUAUCGCCAAAAUAUAAACACGUAGACAUGACAAUCAUAAUAGCAUAUACACGUUAGUUGCAUUACACCGUCAUUACAUGCAAUAUUUGCAUGGUGUUUUGGGUGUAACGGGUAAAGAAAACUAAAUGAUAUAAUUGAGCAGAAAAACUAACCCAAUGAGUUAAGUCUAUAUAUUAUGAUCACGAAAGUUGCUUAUACAUUAUUUUAAUUAUAAUUGAACUCCUUACAUGUUUUUUUUUACAGUGCUGCACACCAUCGAAUUUCAAAAACGUGGAUUGCCACAUGCACAUAUGCUCAUUUGGUUGGAUGGUGCAUCAAGAAUUCCAACAACAAAUGAAGUUGACGCAAUAAUCUCUGCCGAACUACCGCAUAAAGAGAAUGACCAACAAGGGUUUGAGCUUGUGGAGAAACACAUGAUGCACGGUCCAUGUGGAUUGGAUCGACCAAAAUCUCCUUGCAUGAGAAAUAAAGAAUGUUCAAAAAGAUACCCAAGGCAAUAUACUGAUCAAACCUCAAUCGACAAAUCUGGCUAUAUAAUUUACCGGCGACGGCAAGAUGAAGGUAACUUUGUGAUCAAAGGAAAAACAAAGUUGGAUAAUCGCUAUGUUGUUCCACACAAUUUAGCUAUUUUAAAAAAAUAUCAAGCUCAUAUAAACGUGGAGUGGUGCAACAGAACAAAUGCUGUCAAGUAUCUUUUCAAAUACAUUACAAAAGGAGUCGACAAAGCUACCAUUGUGAUAGAAAAAGGUCCCGAGGCUUCAAAACACACACAAGAUAGUGUAUCAACGAAAAGACCAAGAGAUGAGAUACAAGAGUACCUUGAAUGCCGAUAUGUAUCUGCUUGUGAAGCCACGUGGAGGACUUUUUCCUUCCACAUUCAUCAACGUAAGCCUGCAGUUCAAAAACUUAUAAUCCAUCUUCCUGGACAACACCACAUAAGAUACAGAGCUAAAGAUGAUCUCAGAAAAGUUCUAUCAAAAGAAGAUAUUGAGAGAACAAUGUUUACAGCAUGGAUGGAGAAAAAUAUAGAAUCUGAAGAGGCUCGCCAACUAACUUAUUUGGAAUUUCCAACAAAAUUUACAUGGAACAGCGAGAGUAAAAUCUGGAGUGAGAGACAACAAGGAGGAAUGAUAGGAAGAAUAAUCAACAUUCAUCCAUCUUCAGGACAAUUAUAUUAUUUAAGGAUACUCAUCAACAAAUUAAGAGGACCACGAAGUUUUGAGGAAAUCCUAACAUUUGAGGGAAAAAUAUAUCCAGAUUACAAAUCAGCAUGCUAUGCUAGAGGUCUAUUAGAUUCUGACAUUGAAUGGCAUGAUGCUAUGAAUGAAGCUAUUCGAUGGGGUACACCUUAUCAGCUACGGCAACUAUUUGUUUUACUGCUGAUAUAUUGUGAAGUAGGCAGUCCUCUUAGUUUAUGGAAUCGAUGUUGGAAAUCACUAGGUGAAGACAUGCUUAACAGAAAACGCAAAACUUUUGGCUUUCCAAAACUACAGCUAAAUGAAUAUGAGAUCAAGCAAUAUACUUUGAUGGAGAUAGAGAAGGUGAUGCACCAGCAUGAAAGGUCACUAGAUGAGUUCAAAGAUAUGCCAAAACCUGAUCAAACAGUUCUGAAAGAACUAGGUAACACGCUGCUAACCCAAGAGUUACAAUACAAUGUACAUCAGGAAAAAGAGGAACAUAGCAAGCGAUUCAGCUGUCUAAAUGUGCAGCAAAGAAAAGUUUAUGAUGCAGUUAUGGAGUCAGUUGAAAAUGGUUUGGGUAAACUAUUUUUUCUAUACGGUCCUGGUGGAACAGGGAAGACAUACCUUUACAACACCAUUAUUUCUAAGUUGCGAUCAGAAAAAAAAAUUGUGCUCCCAGUUGCUUCCUCUGGCAUCGCAGCAUUGCUUUUACCUGCAGGAAGGACAGCACAUUCCCGCUUUAAGAUACCCAUGAAUCUCAAUGAAGAUUCAGUAUGUCAUAUAUUUCCAGGAACAAUGCUUUCUGAACUAAUUGAAAAGACUGAUCUAAUUAUAUGGGACGAGGCACCUAUGACAAAUCGGCAUGCAUUUGAAGCCCUUGACAGAACACUGCGAGAUUUGAUGUCCAUUAAAGAUCCAAAAGUUAAAGACCAACCUUUUGGAGGCAAAAAUGUACUAUUAGGUGGAGACUUCAGGCAAACGCUAC
rnacentral:lncRNA from 1 species